GGCUUGAUAGUGGAAUUGGCAAACGCGCUGGAUUUAGGAUCCAGUUCCUUCGGGAGUGCAGGUUCGACCCCUGUUCGAGCUA
rnacentral:tRNA from 1 species